CGAAAGACUAUUUAACAGGGAAUUUUAAAUGUAUCAGAGUCACUGAUCUUCUUAGUGAGAACAGCCACACGUUCUGCACACUGAACUUAGGAGGGAAAGAUGUCUCCAAACCAGUAUCAACCACAGAGCUGAAAAGAGCGCCACCUGGAAGUACAAGUCCAUGUUGUGAAGGGCAAUCAGCUAAGGGUGGCCACUGUUACAGUGAUUUAAUGAGAUUUUUUGUGAAGAAAGAUUGCACCGGAAGGAGAGACAAAG
rnacentral:lncRNA from 1 species